rnacentral:rRNA from 1 species
UACAGAGGCCACGAGCGUUAGUCGGAAUCACUGGGCUUAAAGGGUGCGUAGGUGGGUCCGCAAGCGUCCUGUGAAAUACCUCAGCUCAACUGAGGAACAGCAGGGCGAACUGCGGGUCUUGAGGCAGGUAGGGGCUGGAAGAACGGUCGGUGGAGCGGUGAAAUGCGUAGAGAUCGACCGGAAUGCCGAUGGGGAAGCCGUCCAGCUGGGCCUGUCCUGACACUGAGGCACGAAAGCGUGGGGAGCAAACAGG